rnacentral:lncRNA from 1 species
AUAAUAAGAAUGAGCGUAAAUAUUUUCAGGAUUGUUAUGCGCUAAGUUUAAGGAUUGUUUUGCGAUAAAUGAGGACUGAAUUGCGACCGGGACAUUUUUUACGAAUUGAAAUGGGGACUUUAUUGCGACCGGGACUGUUAGUCGAUUUUUUUCCGGGACUGUUUUAAGACAAUAAGGAUUCUUUCACGACUGUAGGGACUGUUUGUUAAUUGACAUAAGGAUUGUAUUGCACUUGAAAAAUAUAAAAUUUAAAACUAAUGCGCAUGUGCCAAGUUUGGAUUUAGAAAAGGGCUGCUUGUAAACUUAGAAACUUUAUAAACUAGAAAAAAACUGUGAAUGAUCUUUUUUAAUUUUACUUUCUAGAUUUUGUUCAUCUUUUGGAAAAUAUUGAUUUAAAAAAUGGUUUAAUAUCUGAAUUUGUUAUUUUUUCGGAAGCUAUUGAUGUAAAAAAAUGGUUCGAUAUCAGCUAAAAUGAAUUUGUUAAUCUAUUGGAAGUUAUUGCUGUAAGGAAAUGGUUCGAUAUCAGCUAAAAUGAAUUUGUUAAUCUAUUGGAAGUUAUUAAUGUAAGGAAAUGGUUCGAUAUCAGCUAAAAUGAAUUUGUUAAUCUAUUGGAAGUUAUUAAUGUAAGGAAAUGGUUCGAUAUCAGCUAAAAUGAAUUUGUUAAUCUAUUGGAAGUUAUUAAUGUAAGGAAAUGGUUCGAUAUCAGCUAAAAUGAGCAACUGUGGCGCAGUGGUUAGAGUUUUGGCUCAGUAACCCAGAGGUUCGUGGUUCGACGCCGGCUCUAGCCCAACUAUGCGACAUUGUUAAGGAAGGAGGCGUGAACUUCUAGUUAAAUACCUUUCCGCGGUGCUCCGUGAUAAGACCGUAAAGACUUCUGGGAGCACGUAAAAUAACUUAAAAAAAUAAAAUAAAGGACGCUCAUGAAAUAAAUGUGAAAGAACAAAUACUUCUUUUUUUCAAGUGGUUCAGUGAUAAAAAUAAUAUCAAAGAAAUUAGUUUCUGCAAGUAAGGAGAGUUCAAUCAGUUUUGAUGGAUUAAGAGAGGUGGCAUUAAUGUAGAAGCAGGAGAGAUAAGGCAAAGAUGCUCAUGAAAUAAAUGUGAAAGAACAAAUAUUUCUUUUUUUCAAGUGGUUGUAUUAAAUCAUUUUUAUUUGUGAUUGUAAGUUGUUUACAGUUUAUAAAAAUGUUUCUGUUUUUUAAUUUAACAUAAAUUGAGUUUGAAGAAUGGCAAAAUAGUAAGAGGACAAUAAAGAUUUUUUUACAGUUAUAGGGACUGUUUGUUGAUUGAUAUAAGUAUUGUAUUGCAUUAUAUAAGUAUAAAAUUUAAAGCUAAUGCCCAAGCGCCAAGUUUUGAUUUAGAAAAGGGCUGCCUAAAAGUUUUAAACUUUAUGAUCUAGAGAAGA